GCCCCAGUGGUGUAAUGGUAGCACGCGCCACCGGUUCGGGUGAAGCGCGGGUUCAAUUCAAGCCUGGGAUC